rnacentral:rRNA from 1 species
CACUAUGCCUAGCCUUAAACAUUGAUGAUAAAUUACAACUAUCAUCCGCCUGGGAACUACGAGCACCAGCUUAAAACCCAAAGGACUUGGCGGUGCUUUAGACCCACCUAGAGGAGCCUGUUCUAGAACCGAUAACCCCCGUUCAACCUCACCUUUCCUUGUUCCUCCCGCCUAUAUACCACCGUCGUCAGCUUACCCUGUGAAGGACUAAUAGUAAGCAAAACUGGCAAAGCCCAAAACGUCAGGUCGAGGUGUAGCGUAUGGAAAGGGAAGAAAUGGGCUACAUUCACUAACUCAGUGCACACGAAUGACACCCUGAAACGCGUGUCUGAAGGAGGAUUUAGCAGUAAGCAGAAAAUAGAGUGUUCUACUGAAACUGGCCCUGAAGCGCGCACACACCGCCCGUCACUCUCCCCGAGCUAAGACUCUCAAGUAAAUAAACAACUACAACUGCAAAGGGGAGGCAAGUCGUAA